GGGUGCUGGUCAGCAGGUACCCGUCGAAGAUCGGGCCGCCAUCG
rnacentral:ncRNA from 1 species